AAAAAGAGCAAUGGUGUGGAAUGACAACCCAACACUUGGGCAUGUCCAAGCACACAGCCAGGUGACCUGGAUGUGAACCCUCCGUGGAGUUAUUUUUAGGACCUGCCUGUAAUCGUGAAGGACAUAUAUAUUUAUGGAUCUCAAAACCAACUAUCUGCACAGUGGUGGAAGAAGCAGUCCAGUCCUUUAGCCAGGUCAGCACUCAGUGAGACAGCGCAGCAUCGUGGAUUUAGUUUCAUCGCUUCUAUUCUCCAUCAACUUCCCCCACCAGCCUGCUCCUCGGUGAUACGGAAUGCAACAUCAUGUUUGUGCCCUGUGAACCUGAAGGGGACGACCUGUCUGACAGGAAGAGCUGAGUUGUUUCCUUUGACAAGAUGGCAGCUGACCCCACACCGCUUUAGGGAAAACAUGUAUGAUAGUCGGGAUCGCGUUUGUCUUUGAAGUUCUCAGAAUUGCAGGCAAACAAGGGAAACCUUUUUAAGUUUUGUGUUUCAGAACAGAAUUAACAUGGAAGAAUGCUGAGAGGAAUUCUAUUGUUACAUUCCUCUCAUCUCAAAUACUACCUACAACUGGAGAAGGUAAUAUACCAGAGGAACAAAUACCUGAAACCAGAACACAUGUUUAAAAGCUAUGUUUAAUUUGCUGUAUAUGGUGACAAAUAUGCGGACAUGUUUCGGUUUUUAUCCACCCUUAGAGCACGUAUGAGAAAACAUUUACCUGAGAUCACUUCCUCUACUGGAAAACAAAAGGAAACUACAGACCAAUAAAAGACAGAGAUGUUUAGGGCAGACUAACUAAAUACAGUGCUCCCACUGCAUUUUUAAAACUAUUUCUGUAAUGCUUUGCACAUAUAAAGGUGGUGAGAUAUGUUUUCUAUGCUGUCAGUUCCUCACUAGAUCUUACUGUUUUUGGAUAUUUUUAUCCGUGCAGAAUUAGCGGUUGUGGGUUUUGGUGUUUUGUGAUUUGAGGAGGAAUAGUUGCCUGCCAGAUGUCAUUGUUUCCUGCUGAUUGGUUCAAAUCAAGUGAUGUGUCUUUAACAAAAAGAGAGCUCACUGCUGUCAUGCAUGCUCUGAGGAAGACUUUAAGCCAAAAUAUGUCAAUAGACUGAAAAAAAAUCAUAAAAAGAUCAAAAUACAAGGUAAAGCUUAUUUUUAAAGCUAUGAAAUGUUGCCUUUUUUCAUAAUUUUUGUACAGCCAGGUCAUCAUAUGUGUUUGAUAUAGAAAAGUAUAAAUUUACGGAGAAUUUCAACAAAAUAAGCAUAUUAUCUUUACUUAAUUGAGUCAAGAACUGAGCAGCUUUGUGCAACAGACAUUUACCUGAAGUUUGGUAGGUUUACGAGAGCCUUUUCUCCCAAACAUUACUUUGUCAUAUAACUAAACAUCACACUCC
ensembl:lncRNA